rnacentral:rRNA from 1 species
UGGGGAAUUUUGGACAAUGGGCGAAAGCCUGAUCCAGCAAUGCCGCGUGUGUGAAGAAGGCCUUCGGGUUGUAAAGCACUUUUGUCCGGAAAGAAAUGGCUCUGGUUAAUACCUGGGGUCGAUGACGGUACCGGAAGAAUAAGGACCGGCUAACUACGUGCCAGCAGCCGCGGUAAUACAUAGGGUCCAAGCGUUAAUCGGAAUUACUGGGCGUAAAGCGUGCGCAGGCGGUUGUGCAAGACCGAUGUGAAAUCCCCGAGCUUAACUUGGGAAUUGCAUUGGUGACUGCACGGCUAGAGUGUGUCAGAGGGGGGUAGAAUUCCACGUGUAGCAGUGAAAUGCGUAGAGAUGUGGAGGAAUACCGAUGGCGAAGGCAGCCCCCUGGGAUAACACUGACGCUCAUGCACGAAAGCGUGGGGAGCAAACAGG